UACGGGGGGGGCAAGCGUUGUUCGGAAUUACUGGGCGUAAAGGGCUCGUAGGCGGCCAACUAAGUCAGACGUGAAAUCCCCCGGCUUAACCAGGGAUCUGCGUCUGAUACUGGAUGGCUUGAGUUUGGGAGAGGGAUGCGGAAUUCCAGGUGUAGCGGUGAAAUGCGUAGAUAUCUGGAGGAACACCGGUGGCGAAGGCGGCAUUCUGGACCAUUACUGACGCUGAGGAGCGAAAGCCAGGGGAGCAAACGGG
rnacentral:rRNA from 1 species